UGCCUCCAUUUUCCCUUGCCAAUAACAUGAACUAUAAUUUCUGAUUUGUGUGAUGGAGUUCGACCAGCUUUUAUGAGUCCCUUUUCUAAAGCCAUCAGACAACACUCAGCAAGCCGGAGCCACAAGAUAGGAAGGUUGUAAAAAAUUAAACUUGCUUUCUGGAAACAGCGAGCAGCCAACAAGGGUUUCCCACAAGCCAAGUGUUGUAUACCACAAUUGUACAUAAUAAGGAGAGAUUUAUCUUGUGAAAAAGUUAACAGUUUCAUAGGCUUGUCCUUCCGAAGAGAUGAACUACAAGUUAGUGCCUUGGAAAAGAGGAGAGAUGAUGCAUGGUAUUUCCCAAGCUGAUAAUAAAUGCAACCAAGGUUGUUGAACAUGCUUGAAAUCCC
rnacentral:misc_RNA from 1 species